AGUGAACGCUGGCGGUAUACUUUACACAUGCAAGUCGAACGGGCUUGGGGGCUUGCUCCCGGGUUAGUGGCGAACGGGUGAGUAAUAUAUCGGAACAUGUCCGGAAGUGGGGGAUAACGUAGCGAAAGUUACGCUAAUACCGCAUAUGCCCUGAGGGGGAAAGGAGGGGAUCGCAAGACCUUUCGCUUUCGGAGUGGCCGAUAUCGGAUUAGCUAGUAGGUGAGGUAAAGGCUCACCUAGGCGACGAUCCGUAGCUGGUCUGAGAGGACGACCAGCCCCACUGGAACUGAGACACGGUCCAGACUCCUACGGGAGGCAGCAGUGGGGAAUUUUGGACAAUGGGCGAAAGCCUGAUCCAGCCAUACCGCGUGAGUGAAGAAGGCCUUCGGGUUGUAAAGCUCUUUCAGCCGGAAAGAAAUUGCCUCUAUUAAUACUGGAGGUAGAUGACGGUACCGGAAGAAGAAGCACCGGCUAACUACGUGCCAGCAGCCGCCGUAAAAC
rnacentral:rRNA from 1 species